rfam:Triticum aestivum genome assembly, contig: Triticum_aestivum_CS42_TGACv1_scaffold_221300_3B
AGCCUGUGAUGUUAUCAAAAUAUUUGCUACUCUUAAGGGGUUUAUCCCACUUGAUGAUCUUAACCGCCAAGAUCUCUGAGGCU